UAGGGAAUCUUCCACAAUGGACGCAAGUCUGAUGGAGCAACGCCGCGUGAGUGAAGAAGGUUUUCGGACCGUAAAGCUCUGUUGUUGGUGAAGAAGGAUAGAGGUAGUAACUGGCCUUUAUUUGACGGUAAUCAACCAGAAAGUCACGGCUAACUACGUGCCAGCAGCCGCGGUAAUACGUAGGUGGCAAGCGUUGUCCGGAUUUAUUGGGCGUAAAGCGAGCGCAGGCGGAAGAAUAAGUCUGAUGUGAAAGCCCUCGGCUUAACCGAGGAAUUGCAUCGGAAACUGUUUUUCUUGGGUGCAGAAGAGGAGAGUAGAACUCCAUGUGUAGCGGUGGAAUGCGUAGAUAUAUGGAAGAAUACCAGUGGCGAAGGCGGCUCUCUGGUCUGCAACUGACGCUGAGGCUCGAAAGCAUGGGUAGCGAACAGGAUUAGAUACCCUGGUAGUCCAUGCCGUAAACGAUGAGUGCUAAGUGUUGGGAGGCUUCCGCCUCUCAGUGCUGCAGCUAACGCAUUAAGCACUCCGCCUGGGGGAGUACGACCGCAAGGUUGAAAC
rnacentral:rRNA from 1 species